rnacentral:tRNA from 1 species
GCCUGGGUAGCUCAGUUGGUUAAGCGUCUGACUUGGGCUCAGGUCACGAUCUCGCAGUUUGUGGGUUCGAGCCCCACGUUGGACU